rnacentral:lncRNA from 1 species
CUUCCACUUUUUUUCUUUCGCUGUGAACACGAAUGGCUUCAAGCGACUAGAAAAGAGUUAUUUUAAAGCACGGUUAGACGUCCCCGUCGGCUAAGAUGGAGCAACUGGGACCAGAGGUACCACCUGCUUGAGCAGAAGCAGCAGAAACAAGAGGACACAAGGUGUCGAAGCCACUGGACACGCGGCAGCUGAGAACAGUGCCUCGGAGACCCGGGACACCAGGGAACUCGGCCCGGGACGGGGCGGAGCAGAAGAGGCCUCCUGCUCCAUGGUCUCGGUUGGUGCCAUGUCGCCGGGGGUGUGUGAGAUGGACCAAGCUGUGUGUCAUAACCCCCAAGGCAGCAGGUCACGAAUCACAUGAAAUAUAAAUGGUCUAAAUGCUCCAACUGAAAACCAAAGGUUGUCAGAUUGGAAAAACACCAAGACCCAAUGAUGUGAUUCCCCCAAGAAAUCCACUUUAAAUACAAAGACUUAAGAACAGGUUUUAAAAAACACAAAACUGGAAAAAGUUAAAGCAGGCUACCCCUGAUCACAGAGAGCUGGCGUGACCACACUAACAUCCAAGCAGAAGCACCUCAGGCCUCGGCGGCGAGACAGGCGCGUGGGCUGGGGCACAGCCACCAGGCUGCGGGAGGAGCGGAGGCUUACACACCCCCACGUGUGGUGAAUCUCACCUACACCAGUGAAAUGAGCCAGACCCCCCAAGAAAAGAAAAAAAAAGGAAAGCUACAUUGUUACACUUCUAAAAGUUGUGGAAGAUGCCUAUUGAUCCAUCGGGGAGCCAGGAGGCAGGUGCUGUGGCCGGCACAGUCGCCUGUCACAAGCAUCCAGCUGACGUCGGUCUGGGUGCCCGCUCCCCCGGCUGCCUCAGCAGAAUGAGUGACCGGGCUGCUCUGGGGCCAGGCCCAGACCCGAGGGCUCCUCCGCCUGGGGCAGGGAGCCCGGGGCCCAGGCGCGAGCAGAGGAUGGAGCCCUGCCCGGCGUGAGGAGGGCCGCUCGCGGCGCUGGCAGGAGGGACUUGUGAUCUGGGAGGUGCUCCGCC